CAACUUUCAACAACGGAUCUCUUGGCUCUCGCAUCGAUGAAGAACGCAGCGAAAUGCGAUAAGUAAUGUGAAUUGCAGAAUUCAGUGAAUCAUCGAAUCUUUGAACGCACCUUGCGCCCCUUGGCAUUCCGAGGGGCACGCCUGUUUGAGUGUCGUGAACUCCU
rnacentral:rRNA from 2 species